rnacentral:misc_RNA from 1 species
UUUCCGUAGGUGAACCUGCGGAAGGAUCAUUACUGAGUGAGGGCCCCUCGGGGUCCAACCUCCCACCCGUGUUUAACGAACCUUGUUGCUUCGGCGGGCCCGCCUCACGGCCGCCGGGGGGCAGCUGCCCCCGGGCCCGCGCCCGCCGAAGCCACCUGUGAACGCUGUGUGAAGUAUGCAGUCUGAGACAAUUAUUAAAUUAAUUAAAACUUUCAACAACGGAUCUCUUGGUUCCG